CAACCUGGUCAGGUCGGGAACGAAGCAGCCACAGCCGUUUUCCGCCAGUGCCGAGGGUCAGGCUCGUCCCC
rnacentral:SRP_RNA from 1 species